GUGGGUAUCUCGUACCCCUAAUUCUACUGUCGGACACUUGUCCAUUUUUACCUCUCGUCUCACUUUUUCUUUUCUUUCGAGGUUCCGAGCACUUGCCCCUUUUUAUUUCCUCGUAUCUUUCUCUCUUUUCUUCUCUCUUUUUUUAGAGCACUCAUCUCUUGAAAUAAUAUAGCAAGUGGUAGUAACCAAGAUAACUUGUGCAUUUAUUUCUUAGGGGAAAAACAGAAAUGUUUUUGGCUAUUUUCUCUCGGAUUAGGAGUAGAAUAUUUUUGAGUGGUUCUGGAGAUGGAAAUAGGU
rnacentral:lncRNA from 1 species